UAGAGGGGGUGUGGGGCGUUGUGUAGGGACUGACAUUAGAGGGGGUGUAGGGUGUUGUGUAGGGACACCCCCUCUGUCAGUCCAUUGUCAUGUGCAAUUGAAAUUUAAAAAGUUCCCUUAUUCGUGAAAUAAUUAAUUCAUAGUGAACCAUCACAUUUCAAUCCCACCAUAGCGCUGAACCACCGCCGUACGGAUUGAGCCCUCGAAGUCCUUUAAAGCACAACAACAGUUCCUCUUGGGGAAUAGAGAGAACAGAGAGAUCUCACAGCCCCCAGGCCUUACGGGUGUCUCUGUAGAGCUGACUCUGUCUUAGAGAGUUACUACUGGUACACAUGGUGUCAUAGGCAGAGCUCAUAGUGGUGAAAGAUAGGGAGAGGGAGAGAGGUCUCACAGCCCCCAGGCCUUACGGGUGUCUCUGUAGAGCUGACUCUGUCUUAGAGAGUUACUACUGGUACACAUGGUGUGAUAGGCAGAGCUCAUAGUGGUGAAAGAUAGGGAGAGGGAGAGAGGUCUCACAGCCCCCAGGCCUUAUGGGUGUCUCUGUAGAGCUGACUCUGUCUUAGAGAGUUACUACUGGUACACAUGGUGUCAUAGGCAGAGCUCAUAGUGGCGCAUUUCUCAUUCCAAGAUGACACUGUUCCAACACCAAGAGCUCAUUGCCUUGUGUUGUCUAGUGUUUCAGUGAUAGGAUAUUAUCUUUUCCCUUCUCUCUCUGUUUCUCACCCCUCUCUCCCCCUCUCUCUAUUUCUCUCCUCUCUCUGUUUCUCUUCUCUCUCUGUUUCUCUCCUCUCUCUAUUUCUCUCCUCUCUCUGUUUCUCUCCUCUCUCUAUUUCUCUCCUCUCUCUGUUUCUCUCCUCUCUCUGUUUCUCACCCCUCUCUCUAUUUCUCUCCUCUCUCUGUUUCUCUUCUCUCUCUGUUUCUCUCCUCUCUCUGUUUCUCACCCCUCUCUCCCCCUCUCUCUG